UGGGGAAUAUUGCACAAUGGGCGCAAGCCUGAUGCAGCCAUGCCGCGUGUGUGAAGAAGGCCUUCGGGUUGUAAAGCACUUUCAGCGGGGAGGAAGGCGAUAAGGUUAAUAACCUUGUCGAUUGACGUUACCCGCAGAAGAAGCACCGGCUAACUCCGCGCCAGCAGCCGCGGUAAUACGGAGGGUGCAAGCGUUAAUCGGAAUUACUGGGCGUAAAGCGCACGCAGGCGGUCUGUCAAGUCGGAUGUGAACUCCCCGGGCUUAACCUGGGAACUGCAUUCGAAACUGGCAGGCUAGAGUCUUGUAGAGGGGGGUAGAAUACCAGGGGUAGCGGUGAAAUGCGGAGAGAUCUGGAGGAAUACCGGUGGCGAAGGCGGCCCCCUGGACAAAGACUGACGCUCAGGUGGGAAAGAGUGGGGAGCAAACAGG
rnacentral:rRNA from 1 species